rnacentral:lncRNA from 1 species
UCCUCCAGAAUAUCUUAACGAGGCAGGCUUCCUAAUCGGAUUCACAUUUUUAAAAGUCCACCGCACCCGAUUGGUUCCAAAGAAUGCUUUUUUUGGGGGGGGGGAUAUGUCAAAUCAGCUCAAGCAGCGAUCUUGCUCAGAGCGGAGACCAGGAAGAGAGGAUGUGAGGAAAAUGACUUUGAAGGGAUGAAAAAAACCACACACACUUUAUUGUGCAUCUUUCAAAUACAGAACUUAAAAAUAACGACUGCAACCACGAAGUUAAUUCCCGUAGAGCUUUUCAAUGAUGGGAAAAAUUUUCUCCAUUUGCUGUGCCAAUUGUAUCCUUUUACAAGGGAAAAUCCUCAAGAAAACCUGUCUGUAAAAUGUCAAGAUGGAAUUUUCGUAUUUUGUGUCGAUUUAAGCAUAGGGAGUGCCUAAUCAAAUCUUACCAUCUCUCUCUCUCUCUCUCUCUCUCUCUCUCUCUCGUUCUCUUCCUCUUCCUCUAAAAUCUCCUGCCUUAUAAUGUGGCCAUUUGGUAAAUACAUUUGGGCUCCCCUUCAGUCUUUUUCCAGUCUCUCAGAGGUAACAUCCACAAAUCCACGGAUGGCCUUAUGCCCCUCCCACUCUGGGUGGACCUUAAGAAACCAAUCCCUCUUUUAUCCUUUGAGGUUGGUAGCCUGGCUUCUUCUCAUUGAUGAGAAGAUGAGACCAAAGCUGUUGAUUGCAAUUAAAGGAGAAGGUUGGACGAAAGGACCUGUGAAAAAGUGCCCAGCUGCAAAAAAGGACACUGAGGAAGAAUUUCAGAUAGAAGCUCCCCAAAUGGAUAAUGGUCCAAUCACUGUCAAGAAGGCCAAGCUCAGGAAGCUGAAAAUUGCUCGCCAGCAUUUACCCCAGAGUUACGAGUACGAUCCUUACGUUUCCUGCCUAGCGGGACUCUACAGCUGUCGAUGGGAACGGUACGAGCAGAAAAGGAUCAAGCCAGGGCAGUGCUGCUGCGGCAUCGGUGAGUGUGCAUUUUUUGCACUGCUCCUUUUCGCCUUCUUCCUCUGGUUCAUCUUUACAUACAUGUGGGGACAACUGAAAAAUGACUAUAACGCCUUCGACAGAUACAACUUUGCCAAUUAUGGAUUCUGGUUUCAUUGGUCCAUAUUGCUCCUGGUUUUGGCUGCCCUGAUUUUAUCCUACCUCUUGUUCUUACUGACUUACAAAUAAAAAGCCUUUUCACAGUGAAGUUAUGAACCGUAACUUCCAAAAGAUCUCCUGGAUGGAGAAUGAGUGCAGGGAAAUCGCCCCAGAGAGAGACCACAGCUGCAAUACAAGGAGACCUGCAAGUGGGAUCUGAAGGCCCUAGGAAUGGACCUCAAGAGAUGGGAAACCUUGACCUCUGAGUGUUCAGCCUGGAGGCAGGCGUUGCAUCACGGCCUCUCCCAAUUUGAAGAGACCCUUGUCCAGCAGGCCAAGGCUAAGAGGCAGUCCCCAAAGCAGCAAAAUCAGGGAGCUGGACAGGGGACAGAUUGGAUGGUCACCCUUGAAUUGGCCUUCUCAGCCACACUAGACGUUGUUCCAGGGCCUCUAUUCAGAGCAUGUUACCAUCGUCUCUUGAGACUAAAGGUUUUUUUUAGUUUAGAAAGUUUCCCCCUGCUUUCUUAAGCCACCUGAGCUUCCUCUACUGCCAUAUCACGGUGUCUGGAGGGGUGUGGCAUGUGGAAUUAAUCACCUCCAGGGCUCUAUAGCAUGCUUCUUGAGGAUGCUUUUCAAACAUAUUCCUCAAGUAGUGAAAUACAGUGGUGCCUUGCUUAACGAGUGCCCCGUUUAACAACGAAUCUGCAUAGUGAUGAGGUUUUUGUGAUCGCAAAAGCGAUCGCAUUGCGAUGUUUUAGAUGGCCAAAAAUCGCUUUGCGAUGAUCAGUAAGCAUUUCGCUUACCUAUUUCCGCAUAGCGAUGUUUUAAAAACAGCUGAUCGGCGGUUCCAAAAUGGCCACUGGAAAAAUGGCCGCCCACAGUGAAAAUGGCGGCCGGGCAGUGAAAAUGGCGGCCGGAUGGAGGAUUUCCGCAUAGCGGUUAGUUUUUUCCCCAUAGGAAUGCAUUAAACAUGUUUUAAUGCGUUCCUAUGGGUUUUUUUCCCUGCAUAGUGAUGAAUCUGGAUAGCGAUGAUUUUUUUGGCAUGGAUUAUCAUCGCUAUGUGGGGCACCACUGUACGUCAAUCGUAGCA